GCUGUUUCUGUCUUCUUCCAUAUAAUAUACCGAGUCAUUUGUUUGUGAUAAUUGCCUACAACUUGCAGUAUUUCAAGCCUGGUGUACUGUUUGAGAUCCGAGAAUAUUGAGUCUGUAAUGUGCAACGGUCAAUGGAUUUUGAAGGAUAAAAAGAUCUCAAAUCUAGAUGAGGAAGAAGUAUUUUCUUUAGCAAUGAAAGCUUCAAGCGAUAUUAUUAGAAGGGCAGGCAUUGCCCUUCCUCAUAGGUUCAACUUUUUCUAAUGACAUCUGGAACUGAAUGUGCAGUUUUGCACACCAAGGGUUUGUUUCUAAUGUUCGUUUUCCUCUAUUAACUGUAGCAUCAUGCUGGUCUCCCCUUCUCCUUUGUUUUGCAUGUAUGAUCUGUUCGAUUUACUUCAAAUCAAACUAACAAAUAAAAUAAUAUUCAUGUAUUUUCUAUUUUGGGUUUGCUACCAAAUAACUCAUUCAUCUCCUUA